rnacentral:lncRNA from 1 species
UCGGUGAGUUUUCUUGUAUCCUGUCAAUUUUCCUCUCCACAAAAAUCAACAAAGUUCGCAACUUUCUUCUUGAUUCGAAGAAAUUUUUCUGGGUCUGAUGUGCUUACCAAGAUUGCAACUUUCAAGUCUUGAAAUUUUUGUACUUGUCAGGGUCUCUCAAUCAAUCUCUUUUAAUGCUUAACCGUGUCAAAUUAUAGCUGGCAAGUAGUUAUUGUCGGUGCAUUUAUUUUUAUAUUAUUAGUAAUAUUAUUGCCAUUAUGUAAUUAAUGAUCUUUGAUUGAACUGGGUUUACUUGAUUAUUUAGUUUUAAGCCUGUCUCAGAUCUAUCUCUAGUUAAUGCUAUCCUCUUUCCUUUUUUUAUUGAAUUUAUGGCCUACAAAUAUGGGAUUUUGUUUUAGUUAAUGUUUUUACAUAGAUUUCGCUAGUUAGAUAUUAGCAAUCUAGGAUCUUUUUAUUUAUAUAUUAUAUAGUGUGUUCUAGAUAUGAUAAAUAUUUGCUUUCAGUUAUGGAUGAUAAGUCCUAACUUAAUGUUUUUUUUGGAAACAAGGCUGGUGAUGACAAGGAGCUUCAGGCAAUCACUGGAGUGAAUUAAACAACCUAGGUACUAGAUUCGGUGCUGAACUUUUGCUCACGGUCCAUCCAUUACCUAUUGUGAAUAUCCUGGAGAGGGAAAUGAGCUUCUGAUUU